UACAGAGGUCUCAAGCGUUGUUCGGAUUCAUUGGGCGUAAAGGGUGCGCAGGUGGCGAGGCAAGUCGGAUGUGAAAUCCCGGGGCUCAACCCCGGAACUGCAUUCGAUACUGCCUUGCUAGAGUGCUGGAGAGGAGAUGGAAUUUACGGUGUAGCAGUGAAAUGCGUAGAUAUCGUAAGGAAGACCAGUGGCGAAGGCGGAUCUCUGGACAGCUACUGACACUGAGGCACGAAGGCCAGGGGAGCAAACGGG
rnacentral:rRNA from 1 species